UCGCCUCCACUCGAAUGGCCAGGACACCCUAGCGGGGGCAGAGCCGAAAAAGCGCGGCGUCCUCUUCCCUCUCUCGAAAGCUUCAUGCUAGCCAAUGGCAGCUGUCCAUACCAAGCGCCGGUAGUUCAAAGCGACUGCGUCGCUUCAAGUCUCUGUUGUUGUUUCUUAACUCUACGGCUUUGUGAUCCUCCGCUCCUUCCCCGCCCCGCGCGUUCCUUCUCUAUGACGAACAAAUAGAAAAGCCGCCAUUACGUGCGUGCGCAGUUAAGUAGAAACUUCCGAACCAUAGAUAAGAAAACGUUGGAGAGGUAGAGCGGCUCCAGGAGGAAUGGAAAUAGGAAACGCGGCGGGGUCUCCUCGGCGGGGCGUGUGUAUUUCCCUUGUUCCUUCCGAUCUGAAGCUCUGCAGCUGUUGUUAGACUGCAAUUUCUAUCAUCCCCAGCUGCAAUAAAUUGUGCCUGGGGGGUGAUGGGAGUUGUAGUUUAACUACAGCUGGCGAGUCUUCUCAGCUUGGCCAUCCUGCUAUGAGGCUUGACGUAUCUCACUUUUUGUUGAUAUUUUUUUGUUGAUAAAGAACUACACUUUUUUAUUUUAUUUUUUUAAAAAUUGAUGUAUAUCUCGCUCUACCGCAUAACCUAAGAGUGACUUACAGAGAUCUCCCCGGAUCCCUUUUUGAAAGUUGAUGUUCAGUUGGCUACUUUCCAGUCUUCCGGUACAGAUCCUGAUUGCUUCAAACUGAACAAACCAAUGAAAAGACUGGAGCAACAGCAACAAAGGCCAGAACAAAACCCUCUUUAAAUCUGCAAUUCUAAGCAUGCUUACAAGAGAUGUAAUACCACAGUAAAUCUUACUUCCAGGUUCAAGCUCCAGCCUUUGUCAAUCUGGAAGUUCAUCACCAAUCAAGCCUCACUACCAACUCCACUUCAAAAGUCUUUAUCCUACACGCCAUGAAAUUCCAUCUCUGGUACAGAGUUAUCUUGCAUGUCAGAAGUUAAUAAAAUCAAUUAAAUUUUA